rnacentral:rRNA from 1 species
GACGAACGCUGGCGGCGUGCCUAAUACAUGCAAGUCGAGCGGAUCUUCAUUAGCUUGCUUUUGGAGAUCAGCGGCGGACGGGUGAGUAACACGUGGGCAACCUGCCUGUAAGACUGGGAUAACUUCGGGAAACCGGAGCUAAUACCGGAUAAUCCUUUCCCUCACAUGAGGGAAAGCCGAAAGACGGUUUCGGCUGUCACUUACAGAUGGGCCCGCGGCGCAUUAGCUAGUUGGUGAGGUAAUGGCUCACCAAGGCGACGAGGCGUAGCCGACCUGAGAGGGUGAUCGGCCACACUGGGACUGAGACACGGCCCAGACUCCUACGGGAGGCAGCAGUAGGGAAUCGUCCGCAAUGGACGAAAGUCUGACGCAGCAACGCCGCGUGAGCGAUGAAGGCCUUCGGGUCGUAAAGCUCUGUUGUCAGGGAAGAACAAGUAUCGGAGUAACUGCCGGUACCUUGACGGUACCUGACCAGAAAGCCACGGCUAACUACGUGCCAGCAGCCGCGGUAACAC